CGCGUCCUUGCCCUGAGAGUCACCUGUACGAAUGACUCCUUUAAUCUUCACAAGGACCGUUUGAGGCUCCGCCAUGGUCCUCACAGAGGAGAGAAACCGUUUGCCCAAGGUCACCCAGGAAGUGACAAAGCCAAAAUUCAAACCCAGGAGGGUCCGGUGACGUCACAUGUGUACCAUGGAUUAGCUUUGCACCCGGCACAGAGUACCUUCCAGAACUGGGGCUGCGACUUCCUGCUCUGUGACCUCAGAUGAGGAACUUGACCUUCCUGGGCCUCUGUCACGAACUGUUAUGGGGAUGUGACGCUCCGGGUGCGGCGUCCGCUUGGGUGAAGAAUUCAGUGCGUGGAAGCUCCCGCCCGCUGCCCGAUGUCAUGGACACAGCUGAGCAACGGUUCCGGAAACCACAGCCAGUCUCUGCUCAGCUGGGGGCCGAAGGGAAAGGGAUCAGGCCAGGCCAGAGGGCCCGCGUUGACCGCAGUGGCCUCCGGAGGCCAGCCCGGGGGCGGCAGCGACGGAGAGCAGCCGAGGGAGACCCCAGGGGAGCUGGGGCUGAGCUGGAGGGGCUCCGAGCACUGUGCCACGGGCCUCGCUGUUCCCCUCGCCUCUCGGUCACACACGUGCACACCCUCACACUCACACACACACACACACACACACACACACACACACACACACACACACACGCUUUGACACCCUCGUGGCUGAAGAAUGCUGUGUGAUUCCCGAUUCCCG
rnacentral:lncRNA from 1 species